GAUGAACGCUGGCGGCGUGCCUAAUACAUGCAAGUCGAACGCUUCACUUCGGUGAAGAGUGGCGAACGGGUGAGUAAUACAUAAGUAACCUGGCAUCUACAGGGGGAUAACUGGUGGAAACGUCAGCUAAGACCGCAUAGGUGUAGAGAUCGCAUGAACUCUAUAUGAAAAGUGCUACGGGACUGGUAGAUGAUGGACUUAUGGCGCAUUAGCUGGUUGGUAGGGUAACGGCCUACCAAGGCGACGAUGCGUAGCCGACCUGAGAGGGUGACCGGCCACACUGGGACUGAGACACGGCCCAGACGCCUACGGGAGGCAGCAGUAGGGAAUUUUCGGCAAUGGGGGAAACCCUGACCGAGCAACGCCGCGUGAAGGAAGAAGUAAUUCGUUAUGUAAACUUCUGUCAUAGAGGAAGAACGGUGGAUAUAGGGAAUGAUAUCCAAGUGACGGUACUCUAUAAGAAAGCCACGGCUAACUACGUGCCAGCAGCCGCAGUAA
rnacentral:rRNA from 1 species